UACGGAGGAUGCAAGCGUUAUCCGGAUUUAUUGGGUUUAAAGGGUGCGUAGGCGGGAUAAUAAGUCAGCGGUGAAAGUUUGAGGCUCAACCUUAAAAUUGCCGUUGAAACUGUUUUUCUUGAGUAUAUUUGAAGUAGGCGGAAUUCGUGGUGUAGCGGUGAAAUGCAUAGAUAUCACGAAGAACUCCAAUUGCGAAGGCAGCUUACUAAACUAUAACUGACGCUGAAGCACGAAAGCGUGGGUAUCAAACAGG
rnacentral:rRNA from 1 species